CGGAAAGGCCCUUUCGGGGGUACUCGAGUGGCGAACGGGUGAGUAACACGUGGGUGAUCUGCCCUGCACUUCGGGAUAAGCUUGGGAAACUGGGUCUAAUACCGGAUAGGACUACGGCAUGCAUGUGCUGUGGUGGAAAGUUUUUAACGGUGUGGGAUGGGCCCGCGGCCUAUCAGCUUGUUGGUGGGGUGAUGGCCUACCAAGGCGACGACGGGUAGCCGGCCUGAGAGGGUGUCCGGCCACACUGGGACUGAGAUACGGCCCAGACUCCUACGGGAGGCAGCAGUGGGGAAUAUUGCACAAUGGGCGCAAGCCUGAUGCAGCGACGCCGCGUGGGGGAUGACGGCCUUCGGGUUGUAAACCUCUUUCACCAUCGACGAAGGCCCGCUUUUGGUGGGUUGACGGUAGGUGGAGAAGAAGCACCGGCCAACUACGUGCCAGCAGCCGCGGUAAUACGUAGGGUGCGAGCGUUGUCCGGAAUUACUGGGCGUAAAGAGCUCGUAGGUGGUUUGUCGCGUUGUUCGUGAAAUUCCCUGGCUUAACUGGGGGCGUGCGGGCGAUACGGGCAGACUGGAGUACUGCAGGGGAGACUGGAAUUCCUGGUGUAGCGGUGGAAUGCGCAGAUAUCAGGAGGAACACCGGUGGCGAA
rnacentral:rRNA from 1 species